rnacentral:lncRNA from 1 species
GUCCGGGCAAUAGAUAGUAUAAAAAUACGGAAGUUGAUCGGCUAUUCUUUAAGUUUGAGUUCUAGAAUAUCCAACAUACACUUAGUCUCUAUAUCUCUAUAAUCCUGAUGGUCUGAAUAAAAACCCUAAGUCUAACGUCUUUCAUAUCUAUUUCAAAACCUCAAUCAAUCUACCGAGCAACUACCUUGCUCACCACUGCUAUUUACAUUUAAACCAUUUGACCUAGCUUAAUCACAUAACUAUAGAUCUUUUGUGUGCGCUAGCUCCCUGUGAAUUCGAUCCCUAAGGCUACAACUCGACCUUUUAUUUGAGAGAAUAAAUCACUCAUUAGGGUAAUUUGAGUGAUAUCACUUAGCUUGAGGAUAGAUCUUACUCACCGCAUUCGAUAGGCAGACCGCCCUAUCGGAUAUUAUUGCUAGAGUAGGAGAAUCCCCAAGAAUCCUCUCA